AUUGAACGCUGGCGGCAGGCCUAACACAUGCAAGUCGAGCGAGCGGCGGACGGGUGAGUAAUGGCUGGGUAUUGCCCAGUCGAGGGGGAUACCAGUUGGAAACGACUGCUAAUACCGCAUACGAUUGGAUUGCCCAGGUGGGCUUAGCUAGUUGGUGCGUGAAUGGCUCACCCAGGCGACGAUCCCUAGCUGGUCUGAGAGGAUGAGUAGCCACACUGGAACUGCGACACGGUCCAGACUCCUACGGGAGGCAGCAGUGGGGAAUAUUGCACUAUGGGGGAAUGCCUGAUACAGCCAUGCCGCGUGUGUGAAGAAGGCCUUCGGGUUGUAAAGCACUUUCAGCGAGGAGGCGUUACUCGCAGAAGAAGCACCGGCUAACUCCGUGCCAGCAGCCGCGGUAAUUC
rnacentral:rRNA from 1 species